rnacentral:ncRNA from 1 species
CUACUGCCGUCGAGAGGCGGUGGGAUGGGCUCGCAGGAGUCAGCAGAGGCCGUAUUAGCCGCUGUAACCACAGUGGUGAAGGGC